GACGAACGCUGGCGGCGUGCCUAAUACAUGCAAGUCGAGCGGAAGUUGGAGAGCUUGCUCUUCAACUCUAGCGGCGGACGGGUGAGUAACACGUGGGCAACCUGCCCUGCAGAUCGGAAUAACUCCGGGAAACCGGUGCUAAUACCGAAUAGUUUUCGCCACCUCCUGGUGGCGUACGGAAAGACGGUUUCGGCUGUCACUGCAGGAUGGGCCCGCGGCGCAUUAGCUAGUUGGUGGGGUAACGGCCCACCAAGGCGACGAUGCGUAGCCGACCUGAGAGGGUGAUCGGCCACACUGGGACUGAGACACGGCCCAGACUCCUACGGGAGGCAGCAGUAGGGAAUCUUCCGCAAUGGACGAAAGUCUGACGGAGCAACGCCGCGUGAGUGACGAAGGUUUUCGGAUCGUAAAACUCUGUUGUGAGGGAAGAACAAGUACCAACUAACUACUGGUACCUUGACGGUACCUCACCAGAAAGCCACGGCUAACUACGUGCCAGCAGCCGCGGUAACAC
rnacentral:rRNA from 1 species